UAAGUUUCACUUUGGACAUUGCUUGGGCUGGAGCGGGGGUGGGUUUUGUGUUCUGGGGAACUGGUACAUUACUCACUCUGAAGGACAAGUACUCAUGCAUACUGAAGGGAAGGAUGUCCUGCAGAUACAGAAGUGAAGGAGACUACAAGGGAUUGCUUAGCAGCUGCAGCACAACACACAGGCAGUGAGGAGCAGAGCCCAGCAGCUUGGAGAGAUGCAUGCAGCUGCAGAGUUUUCUUCUUCUUCCUGGGAGAGUACUGAGAACACUCGGGUGGUGUUUCUCCUUGAUCAAUGAAGUGUCCCUUACCCCAGCCUUAGUUUCUAUAUUACACUGUGUCAGCCAGAGGCUUAAACACAUGGAAGCUUCUGCUACACUAUUUUUCUUCAUUCAGUAUAUCAUCCCCAGAGAGCACAAGGGAAUAAAUAGAUUUUGUGUCCAAGUCUUGUGUCUAUGUUAUACACAUAGCAAAGUAUUGCUCUGUACACAUGUAUUGAAUAGGAUAAAAUGAAAAAUAAAUAAGUACAGCAUGAUGUUCAUUUUCUGCUCCUAUACUAUUUCUACUCUCUCUAUAAUAUUUACUGGAAGAUUUCUAGAUCCUCAGUUCUAAUACACAACUUUUAACUCUUGCAUAGCAGUUCCUGCGUUGA